CAGGUCAGCAUACUGCCGUGAAUACGUUCCCGGGCCUUGUACACACCGCCCGUCACACCAUGAGAGUUGGGGAUACCCAAAGCCCGUGAGCCAACUGUAAAGAGGCAGCGGUCUAAGGUAGAAUCAAUGAUUGGGGUGAAGUCGUAACAAGGUAUC
rnacentral:rRNA from 1 species